rnacentral:rRNA from 1 species
GACGAACGCUGGCGGCGUGCUUAACACAUGCAAGUCGAACGGAAAGGCCUCUUUUGGGGGGGACUCGGGUGGCGAAGGGGGGAGUAACACGCGUGUAUCCUGCCCUUGUCUUUGGGAGAACUUCUGAAAACUGGGGCUAUUAUCGGAUAGAAGAUCCUGCGCCAUGGGGGGGGUUGGAGAGUUUUGGCGGUUGGGGUUGGGCUCGCGCCUUCUCAGGUUGUGGGUGGGGGAUUGGCUUACCAAGGCUUUGACGGGGAGCCGGCGUGGGAGGGGGACCGGCCACAUUGGGACUGGGAUACGGACAAGACUCCUACGGGAGGGAGCAGGGGGGGAUAUUGCAAAAUGGGUGGAAGCCUGAGGCAGCAACGCCGUGGGCGGGAUGACGGGCUUCGGGUUGGAAACCGCUUUCGCUCUUGACGAAGCUGUGAGUGACGGUAGUGGGUAAAGAAGCACCGGCUAACUACGUG